rnacentral:rRNA from 1 species
UACGUAGGUGGCAAGCGUUGUCCGGAUUUAUUGGGUUUAAAGGGUGCGUAGGCGGCUUAUUAAGUCAGUGGUGAAAUACUCUAGCUCAACUAGAGGGGGUGCCAUUGAUACUGAUGAGCUUGAGUACAGAUGAGGUAGGCGGAAUUGACGGUGUAGCGGUGAAAUGCUUAGAUAUCGUCAAGAACACCUAUAGCGAAGGCAGCUUACUAGGCUGUAACUGACGCUGAGGCACGAAAGUGUGGGGAUCAAACAGG